UGCCCUACGGGGCGCAGCAGUGGGGAAUAUUGCACAAUGGGGGGAACCCUGAUGCAGCGACGCCGCGUGAGUGAAGAAGUAUUUCGGUAUGUAAAGCUCUAUCAGCAGGGAAGAAGAUGACGGUACCUGACUAAGAAGCCCCGGCUAACUACGUGCCAGCAGCCGCGGUAAUACGUAGGGGGCAAGCGUUAUCCGGAUUUACUGGGUGUCAAGGGAGCGUAGACGGCCAGACAAGUCAGAAGUGAAAACCCGCG
rnacentral:rRNA from 1 species